GAUGAACGCUGGCGGCGUGCCUAAUACAUGCAAGUCGAGCGAACGGACGAGAAGCUUGCUUCUCUGACGUUAGCGGCGGACGGGUGAGUAACACGUGGAUAACCUACCUAUAAGACUGGGAUAACUUCGGGAAACCGGAGCUAAUACCGGAUAAUAUUUUGAACCGCAUGGUUCAAUAGUGAAAGACGGUUUUGCUGUCACUUAUAGAUGGAUCCGCGCCGCAUUAGCUAGUUGGUAAGGUAACGGCUUACCAAGGCAACGAUGCAUAGCCGACCUGAGAGGGUGAUCGGCCACACUGGAACUGAGACACGGUCCAGACUCCUACGGGAGGCAGCAGUAGGGAAUCUUCCGCAAUGGGCGAAAGCCUGACGGAGCAACGCCGCGUGAGUGAUGAAGGUCUUCGGAUCGUAAAACUCUGUUAUUAGGGAAGAACAUAUGUGUAAGUAACUGUGCACAUCUUGACGGUACCUAAUCAGAAAGCCACGGCUAACUACGUG
rnacentral:rRNA from 1 species